CUUGGUCCUCUGUUGUGUGAAAGGUUACUUCUUACCAGGUAUAAUGGAGAUUUUCAGGGUAUAUAGCAAAAAUUUUUGGCAGUGAGAAUUUUGUUCUAUAUGUUUCAUAGAGAUGCAACUAAUAAGGGGUUGGAUUUGUGAUCUCUUCAUACCUAGCAGCAGGUAUGUUAGCUGUCUACAGAUUAAUUCCACUUCAGUGAUAAUGCACUCAGUUGUUCUGUUGGGACUUGUGUUUCAGCUGUAUCUGGGGUGUAGUGGGUGUAGUGCCAAGUACUUCACUGUUUCUGUCGCCCUUUGUGGCCUGUUCAUCUGAGCCUUCCACAGCAUGCUGCUUUUCUUGUGCUGGGAUCUUGAGGCAGUUGUGGGAACAGAUCUCCAAGCAAGGAUCUCUUCCUGCUGACAGGCAGUAUUCCUUGUUAUCUGAUGGCCAGCUAUGGUUUUAAGAGAAAAAAUAAGAGCAAGUUUACAAAGCAGGCUCAUUUGAAAUGGUGACUUGUGCCUUUCUUACAUCACCUCUGAACUCCAAAACUACCUUUGAACUUUCCAUAAGGUAAAAUUCAGUUGGUUAUACUUAGGCAAAGCUGGUUUUUAUCUGGUGGAAAAUUUUUAAAAUCAACCUGCUCUUCAGCCGGUGCAUUUUUACUCUGAUUUAAGAAGACACAGAACAAAUUACUUGUGGCCUGUGUGUUUAAAGAUCCCACCCAGGCUUUUCUGGUCAUACCAAAGCUAUUGAUGGCAGUCUGAAUAUCCUUUUGUAGCUUCUGUAGCCACUAUAAACCUUCCUGCUAAUGAACAAGUAUUUUCUUCUGAGUUGUUUAUUUAAUAAUAAGAAAUUAGGGUUGCAUUUGAAACUAUCAUGUUAUGAUUUUAAGCCCCUCCACAUUUUGCACAUGAAAAAACACAUUUUACAAAAGCUUUGAUUAUGCCAGCCAGGGUUGGAGAUGUCCUCUUGCAUCCAAUUAUCCUCUUGGAUUUGAUUGAUAGAUUUUUUUUUUCCCCAGAUGAAAGCACUACACGUUUGACUCCCAAGUGUAUAAUAUGUACUCAGGCAUUUGGCCUCUGAAGCAGCCAUAGGCAAGGCAGGCAGAGUCAAGAAGCCCGUUAAAGUACGUACGGUCUGAACAAGGGCUAUUUCAUUACUGAGAAUAACUUUGAACUGACAGAGAAAGUCCUUCUUGGUGUAGGAAAGCCAGCUAAUUCUUCCAAGACUUUAGAGCACAUUAUUUUUAGUUCAAAAUAAUCAUGGGCUAUUAAACAUAAACAGAACCUGUGAGAAGCCCUGUGUCACUAAGCACGGCACCAGGAAAGUCUCACUGCAGCAAUUUUGUGCUCCUACAUGCUGAUGGAGACAUAUGGGGCUUCAGGUCUGACACCGUAUGUCUAUUCCUAUAUGAACUAGAUGCCCUUCUGUCACCCAGGGAAGAUAAGUAGUCCGUUUUAAAUACCCCUUUUCAAAUGAUUUAGAAACAAACAAACAAAAAGAGGUAUUUCUUGAGACAGAAAGGAGACAUUAGGAGUCAGCAAAAUUGUUUCUGUUUGUUCUCUGUUCUCCACAGAGAUGGUCACCAUACCCGUAUACAGGUCUAGUCUCCAAAUGGAGGAGGAAGGGAUCUAUUCUAAUCUGUUUUUUAAAGGUUAUACAGGAGAUUUUUGUGGGAAAGCCCAGAAAUAGCUGACGACAGCUAGACCUGUGAUGACAGAGCCAGUACUGAAGUCCUUGUACUCAAACUGAAGGCAAAGCAGACUAACCCUAAUGUGUGGUCAUCGCCAGAAGAAAGAUUACCGUAUUAGACCACAUUUUCCAAGGAGAUGAUCUAAGACUGAAGUGGAUGAGUCAGCUGAGAGCGAGCACUGUGACUAGAGACCUCACAGGAGUACCCAGCCAGGCGUGAAGCCAAUGAUCUUCCCAAAUCAACAAUUUCAGGACAAAUUACAGUUAAAUAAAGGGAUUUAUCUUGAGAUGUCUUUGGGAACUGCAUCCUUGAAGCACAGCUCUGGUCUAAGCAUCAGAUGGAGAAGGGUACAGGGACCAUCUCAGACAGCAUCCGAGAAAGAAUUCAAGUGGCAACAAAAGUUAAAAAAUAGCACGUAGCUCCCAGCAAGGUUUCCUACCCUGGGCAAGGAAUAGAUGCAGUUUUAUUUGUACCUAGUUUGGAAGGAAAUCUUUGCAACGGUGAACUUGGUUCUCUGACUUACAGCCUUUUGCUGAUCUCAGCCACACUUCUUGCCGAACAGCCUCCAGGUCAUGGAGACAAUAAGAGAUGUUGUCUUCUCAGGAUCAGUGGGUUUUAAAAUAAUCCAGAGAAGUGCCUUUGUAAGAGAACAAACCCAGUGCACCAUAUUUAAGGGGAAAGACACAAUAUUUUCCAACAGAAAGGGAUGUGUCCUUGGCUUUGCUGAUGCCAUACAGGUCAGGGCUGAAGUACCCAAUCCAAACUGAGUUGGGAGGUGACUCCUGCUGCAAGUGGAGGGAACCCAAGAGGUUCAGCACUAUGGUGACACUGAUCCUAUGAAAGAUGUUUUCUUGCAUAAUUCUGAUCCAAAUCUUGAAUAAUCUAGAAUGAAUGAGUUGUUUGAUGCCUGGGUAUUUUGCAGGGAUAUAAAUAACACUGCCCUGACUACAACAUGUGGCCCAAAGUAAUCUAUCUUUGCAGAUGAUAAGCACUAAUGAUACUUUUCCAAAUGCCUUAUCAAGAAUACUCUGUGGUAACAGCUGCUCAAGAACUCGUUGCAGAUUUAAGCUUGUGGCAUUGUAUGUUUGUGAUGGAGAAAAUCAGCAGGGACAACAGUGUCUGUAGUCUCAGUUACAGGCCCAGGGCUGUUCCCUCCCUUGCCCUUGUGGUUGGUUGCUGAUGCCCUAUGAGAUGUCACUACAGCUCCAUAAAAGAAGUCAUGCAGGUAUUAACCUAGGCUAUUCCUAGGACUGGGCACAACACUGUUAACAGCAGGGCCAAGCCCUCCUAUUUUCUCCAGCCAGAGUUUUGUCACAGUAGCCAAAAGAGCUGUUCAUUUUCACCCAGCGUUUUAGCCUCUGGUCUCAGUGCAAUUGCACUUCAUCAAGCUUCAGCAGCAGGAGCAGGAAGCAGAGCAGCCUUUGUGCCUUCCCCUGUGACACUGAGGCAAAGAUACGCAGCCUGGGGGCAAGCCUUACAGGAAACAAACCCACCUUUUCUGUCCUUGACUUGUAGAGAAGGGGAAGAGUUCAGCAAAUCAGAGACAGGAUUUGGCCCAUUGAUUUUUUUGCAUAUAAUAGGUAGCAGGUCUUAGGUGGAGAAAAAUGUUCUUUAAUCAGUAUCUUUUACUUUAUUGCAAUUAACUUUGUUAUGCUAAUACAGCCUUACUGAUUAAAGACGCCAAGUUUCCCCGUAAUAGUCUUGAAUUACUACUAGGGUAAUGAUAUUUCCAUUUCUAAACAUCCUGUGGUGCCAUCCAAGUUACAUCUGUAUUCAUGUACAUACCUAAUAUGAAUUAUUCUCACACAACAUUUACAUCAAACAUUCUUCCUGCAUCAAAAAUACACUACGUAGUUAAAAAACAGCUUCCCCAUGUUUUAGUGCUCAUCUUAAUACUGUUAUUAUAAGCCCUGUGCUAUUUACUGCUGUGUAUUUAAGCAGGUUUCAAACGAUAUUUGCAACACUUGGUGUACAAGGCUGAGCUCUGGGGAACGUGUGACAGUGGGUGACGCUGGAUGAGCUAUCUGCUGGUGCUAUUCAUCAUGCGUAAUAUGUCCUAUUGCACCAAGGGUGCAUGUAUGGUAGGCACACCCAGUAAUGGUGAAACACAGAAAUCAAAUUAC